rnacentral:rRNA from 1 species
UCUCUCUGAAUCUGCGAACGGCUCCGCAAAACAGUUGUAAACUAUAGCAAGCACGCUUAUCAGGCCGCAAGGCUUGGUGGGCUAUAUGGAUAACCCUGGUAAUUCUGAGGCUAAUACAAGAACGUACCCCCUGUCUGACUGGGCAACUGGAAGGGCGGGGAGCGUGCAACACGGCGCAAAAGAGACUGGGAAUGGGUGCACGCUCUGACCACCGUACCAAACAGUCGGUCUCGAGGCUUCGGCCAAAGGGCGAGUCUGGGUGGCUCUUGCUGUGUGCUUCUGACCUAUCAACUAGAUGGCAGCGUAACGGACAUGCUAUGGUGACAACGGGUACAGAGGAUAAGGGUUCGAUCCUGGAGAGUGGGCCUGAGAGAUU